AAGUCCCACCUCAUGAGCAUGUGAUGGCCGUUAUACAGCAUGGAAAGUGUAAGGAAUGGAAAGGUGAAUAUACUGUUCAAAGUGACAAGUUUGCAACACGAAUUUUUCUGAAUCAAGAAAUUGAUGAAGUUGAUGAGCUAAGGAGGAGGCAUAUAUUGAAGUUCGGACAAGGGAGUAGUUCUACUUCUCAGACGAUACUAUCGUCUCAGAGUAUUUUUCCAUUACAUAAAGAAUUUG